UAGCUAGUUGGUGAGGUAAAGGCUUACCAAGGCGACGAUCUGUAGCGGGUCUGAGAGGAUGAUCCGCCACACUGGAACUGAGACACGGUCCAGACUCCUACGGGAGGCAGCAGUGGGGAGUUUUGGACAAUGGGGGCAACCCUGAUCCAGCCAUGCCGCGUGAGUGAAGAAGGCCUUCGGGUUGUAAAGCUCUUUCGGCCGGGAAGAAAUCGCAUGGGCCAAUACCCUGUGUGGAUGACGGUACCGGAAUAAGAAGCACCGGCUAACUACGUGCCAGCAGCCGCGGUAAUACGUAGGGUGCGAGCGUUAAUCGGAAUUACUGGGCGUAAAGCGUGCGCAGGCGGUUUUGUAAGACAGGCGUGAAAUCCCCGGGCUUAACCUGGGAACUGCGUUUGUGACUGCAAGGCUAGAGUACGGCAGAGGGGGGUGGAAUUCCACGUGUAGCAGUGAAAUGCGUAGAGAUGUGGAGGAACACCAAUGGCGAAGGCAGCCCCCUGGGUCGAUACUGACGCUCAUGCACGAAAGCGUGGGUAGCAAACAGGAUUAGAUACCCUGGUAGUCCACGCCCUAAACUAUGUCAACUAGGUGUUGGGUGGGUAAAACCAUUUAGUACCGUAGCUAACGCGUGAAGUUGACCGCCUGGGGAGUACGGCCGCAAGGUUAAAACUCAAAGGAAUUGACGGGGACCCGCACAAGCGGUGGAUGAUGUGGAUUAAUUCGAUGCAACGCGAAAAACCUUACCUACCCUUGACAUGCCAGGAACUUGCCAGAGAUGGCUUGGUGCCCGAAAGGGAGCCUGGACACAGGUGCUGCAUGGCUGUCGUCAGCUCGUGUCGUGAGAUGUUGGGUUAAGUCCCGCAACGAGCGCAACCCUUGUCGUUAAUUGCCAUCAUUUAGUUGGGCACUUUAACGAGACUGCCGGUGACAAACCGGAGGAAGGUGGGGAUGACGUCAAGUCCUCAUGGCCCUUAUGGGUAGGGCUUCACACGUCAUACAAUGGUCGGUACAAAGGGUUGCCAAGCCGCGAGGCGGAGCCAAUCCCAGAAAGCCGAUCGUAGUCCGGAUUGCAGGCUGCAACUCGCCUGCAUGAAGUCGGAAUCGCUAGUAAUCGUGGAUCAGCAUGUCACGGUGAAUACGUUCCCGGGUCUUGUACACACCGCCCGUCACACCAUGGGAGCGGGUUCCGCCAGAAGUAGGUAGCCUAACCGCAAGGGGGGCGCUUACCACGGCGGGGUUCGUGACUGGGGUGAAGUCGUAACAAGGUAGCCGUAGGGGAACCUGCGGCUG
rnacentral:rRNA from 1 species